rnacentral:rRNA from 1 species
AGCGUGCACGGUGGAUGCCUUGGCAGCCAGAGGCGAUGAAGGACGUUGUAGCCUGCGAUAAGCUCCGGUUAGGUGGCAAACAACCGUUUGACCCGGAGAUCUCCGAAUGGGGCAACCCACCCGUUGUAAGGCGGGUAUCACCGACUGAAUCCAUAGGUCGGUGAGGCGAACGCGGGGAACUGAAACAUCUAAGUACCCGUAGGAACAGAAAUCAAUUGAGAUUCCCUGAGUAGCGGCGAGCGAACGGGGAUUAGCCCUUAAGCUGAUGACGGAUUAGGAGAACGGUCUGGGAAGGCCGACCAUAGUGGGUGAUAGUCCCGUAUCCGAAAAUCUGAUUCAGUGAAAACGAGUAGGUCGGGGCACGUGUAACCUUGACUGAACAUGGGGGGACCAUCCUCCAAGGCUAAAUACUCCUGGCUGACCGAUAGUGAACCAGUACCGUGAGGGAAAGGCGAAAAGAACCCCGGAGAGGGGAGUGAAAUAGAUCCUGAAACCGUGCACGUACAAGCAGUCGGAGCCCGCUUUGUUGGGUGACGGCGUACCUUUUGUAUAAUGGGUCAGCGACUUAUUCUCAGUAGCGAGGUUAACCAUCUAGGGGAGCCGUAGGGAAACCGAGUCUGAAUAGGGCGUUUAGUUGCUGGGAAUAGACCCGAAACCGGACGAUCUACCCAUGGCCAGAGUGAAGGUGCGGUAACACGCACUGGAGGCUCGAACCCAAGUAUGUUGAAAAAUGCUGGGAUGAGCUGUGGGUCGGAGUGAAAGGCUAAUCAAGUCCGGAGAUAGCUGGUUCUCCCCGAAAGCUAUUUAGGUAGCGCCUCGUAUAUCACCACCGGGGGUAGAGCACUGUUUCGGCUAGGGGCCCAUCCCGGGUUACCAAACCGAUGCAAACUCCGAAUACCGGUGAGUGCAGUACGGGAGACACACGGCGGGUGCUAACGUCCGUCGUGGAGAGGGAAACAACCCAGACCGCCAGCUAAGGUCCCCAAAUUCCAGUUAAGUGGGAAACGAUGUGGGAAGGCUUAGACAGCUAGGAGGUUGGCUUAGAAGCAGCCAUCCUUUAAAGAAAGCGUAAUAGCUCACUAGUCGAGUCGGCCUGCGCGGAAGAUGUAACGGGGCUCAAACUGGAUACCGAAGCUGCGGCAGUGUGCUUAGGCAUACUGGGUAGGGGAGCGUUGUGUAAGUCUGUGAAGGUGUGUUGAGAAGCAUGCUGGAGAUAUCACAAGUGCGAAUGCUGACGUGAGUAACGAUAAUGCGGGUGAAAAACCCGCACGCCGAAAGACCAAGGUUUCCUGCGCAACGCUAAUCGGCGCAGGGUGAGUCGGCCCCUAAGGCGAGGCUGAAAGGCGUAGCUGAUGGGAAACGGGUUAAUAUUCCCGUACUUCUUGUAACUGCGAUGGAGAGACGGAGAAGGCUAGGCCUACCGGGCGUUGGUUGUCCCGGGGAAAGACCGUAGGCUGGGAUCUUAGGCAAAUCCGGGAUCCUAAGGCUGAGAGUCGAGACCACCGGCCCUUUGCGGCUGGGAAGUGGUUGAUGCCCUGCUUCCAGGAAAAUCUUCUAAGCUUCAGGUUACAAGGAACCGUACCCCAAACCGACACAGGUGGUUGGGAUGAGUAUUCUAAGGCGCUUGAGAGAACUCGGGUGAAGGAACUAGGCAAAGUGGUACCGUAACUUCGGGAGAAGGUACGCCACUUGGUGUGAAGGGCUUGCCCCGUAAGCACCGAGUGGUCGCAGUGAAAAGGCCCCUGCAACUGUUUAUUAAAAACACAGCACUCUGCAAACGCGUAAGCGGACGUAUAGGGUGUGACGCCUGCCCGGUGCCGGAAGGUUAAUUGAUGGGGUUAGCUUCGGCGAAGCUCUUGAUCGAAGCCCCGGUAAACGGCGGCCGUAACAAUAACGGUCCUAAGGUAGCGAAAUUCCUUGUCGGGUAAGUUCCGACCCGCACGAAAGGUGUAACGAUCUGCGUACUGUCUCGGAGAGAGACUCGGCGAAAUAGACUUGUCUGUGAAGAUGCGGACUACCUGCACCUGGACAAAAAGACCCUAUGAAGCUUUACUGUAGCUUGAGAUUGGCUCCGGGCUUUAUUUGCGCAGGAUAGGUGGGAGGCGUUGAAGAUUUCCUUGCGGGGGAAUUUGAGCCAUUGGUGAGAUACCACUCUAAUAAAGCUAGGAUUCUAACCCUAUACCGUUAUCCGGUUAGGGAACAGUCUCAGGUGGUCAGUUUGACUGGGGCGGUCGCCUCCUAAAAGGUAACGGAGGCGUGCAAAGGUUUCCUCAGACUGGUCGGAAAUCAGUCGAAGAGUGUAAAGGCAUAAGGAAGCUUGAUUGUGAGACCUACAAGUCGAACAAAGACGAAAGUCGGCCUUAGUGAUCCGGCGGUACCAAGUGGAAGGGCCGUCGCUCAACGGAUAAAAGUUACUCUAGGGAUAACAGGCUGAUCUCCCCCAAGAGUUCAUAUCGACGGGGAGGUUUGGCACCUCGAUGUCGGCUCGUCGCAUCCUGGGGCGGUAGUACGUCCCAAGGGUUGGGCUGUUCGCCCAUGAAAGCGGCACGCGAGCUGGGUUCAGAACGUCGUGAGACAGUUCGGUCCAUAUCCGGUGUAGGCGUUAGAGUAUUGAGAGGAUCUCUUCUUAGUACGAGAGGACCGGGAGAGACGUACCUCUGGUGUGCCAGUUAUCGUGCCAACGGUAGACGCUGGGUAGCCAUGUACGGUAAGGAUAACCGCUGAAAGCAUCUAAGUGGGAAGCCCACCUCAAGAUGAGUACUCUUACCAUUUAAAAUGGUUAAGGUCACGGCAAGACUAGCCGUUUGAUAGGUAUCAGGUGUAAGUGCAGUAAUGUAUUUAGCUGAGAUAUACUAAUAGACCGAUGGCUUU